rnacentral:pre_miRNA from 1 species
CUUAUACUCCCUCCAUCCCAAAAUUCUUGUCUUACAUUUGUAUAAAUACGGAUGUAUCUAACACUAAAACGUAACUAGAUACAUCCGUAUUUAGACAAAUCUAAGACAAGAAUUUUGGGACGGAGGGAGUAUUUA